UACGUAGGGCGCAAGCGUUAUCCGGAAUUAUUGGGCGUAAAGAGCUCGUAGGCGGUUUGUCGCGUCUGCCGUGAAAGUCCGGGGCUCAACUCCGGAUCUGCGGUGGGUACGGGCAGACUAGAGUGAUGUAGGGGAGACUGGAAUUCCUGGUGUAGCGGUGAAAUGCGCAGAUAUCAGGAGGAACACCGAUGGCGAAGGCAGGUCUCUGGGCAUUAACUGACGCUGAGGAGCGAAAGCAUGGGGAGCGAACAGGAUUAGAUACCCUGGUAGUCCAUGCCGUAAACGUUGGGCACUAGGUGUGGGGGACAUUCCACGUUUUCCGCGCCGUAGCUAACGCAUUAAGUGCCCCGCCUGGGGAGUACGGCCGCAAGGCUAAA
rnacentral:rRNA from 1 species